UUUUAAGCAGAUAAAAUGUGCGCAGUUUUGACGUGCCGACGAACUUCCUUCGUCUGCAGCAGUGAAGGUCAUGCAGAGAUGACCCUUCACGUGCUUUUGUCUCGGUAAGCAAUUACUUAUUAAGCACGCAACAAAACUUUAAACUUUCUCUUCCAAUCAUUGUUUACAAGGAAGUUAUUACAACCAAUUGUAACCAGGGCAAUUGUUUAGAAUAACCCUACAUAUGCUCACAGUUGCAGUUGCAUUGAUUAUUGGCUUCAUUGUCGAGUAAUCAGAGCAGGGAAAAUGAAUUGGUUAUGAGAAAGAGCACUUACACUGCACUUCUAUGUGUCCGGCCUUCUCAGAAUCGCCCGCAGCGUUGGAAGCCUUGCAGAAGUACAGGCCAUCAUCCGAUCGCUUCAGACUCGAGAUACGAAGUCGAAGAAUGCUGAAUUCGCCCUCUUCUACUUCUUCCAGUACAAUGCGCUCGUCCUGCAAAAAACACGAAGCGCUCCUUAAUAUUUGGGAAAUCAAAGUGCGUGCUAUUAUUACAUAAAAAUGAUUGACAUGCUUACUUGUCCAUCCUGCAGGGGCUGGAAUGAGUUGUCUUUCCUGAUCGAUAGCACAGGCCUCGGAACACCCUCUGCUUUGCAUUCCAGUUCGGCGAUGCUGUUUUCCUCUCGGGUUAGAUUCUCCAAUUGCACGAUAUUCGGACGCACUAGGGGGAUAUUUUAAAUAUUAAAAUUUAUUUUUAACCCUUCUUUCAGCACAGACAGUAAUCGCUUUUAGUCAAUUAAAGUUCAUUUUUCAGUCAGAAUAUAAUAAAGAUGUAUUCUGACGUUGAGGCAUGGACCUGAUUAUCAAACAGAUGAAUCUUCUGCAACGUUCGAAUACUAUUGUGUGAAUAAACAACAGAGAAUUGGAGCAGAAGGAAUGCAGCAAAUUUUGUAGCGAGCUACAUUUCCUUUCUGUAUUAACGCCUUUCAAACCAAUUGGUUGAACUUACUUAGGAAGAGAUAGAAUCAAGAUUCGUAUCGUUCCCCAGUAGUUAAAAGAGUUCAUGCUGUGUUACAGCUUACAAAAAUCUUUUACCUCUCAUCGAAUAUGUGGCGUGAGCCGUUGCUUAUCUUUAGAAUAUGUGUCUUUUCAGCUGAUGUAAAAAAUACGAGUUCAGAAGAGGCAAAUGAACUUGCGUUUCAUUUCGCCAAUACAAUAAGUAUAGUUCAGUUUUAUUAACGUCCCAUUUUUAAAGCAACACUAGAGCCAUUUUGGGACGAACCUCGUCAUUUUGAACCGCGAUCAAAUGACGAGGACGACACCUGAGCUGGCACCUCCUCUCCAAACUUCCACACCACACCACACCAGCAAGAGGAAGUUUAGCCUCGACAGAUCAAAUGUACACUAGACACGCUUACACGAUGGUUCUUCGGAGGAAUCGGGACUCGAGCCUGAAACCCUCCUGUUCCGAAGCCGAGACCUUAUCAACUGGCCACCGCGGUCCCUAAACAAUAAGUAUAAAACGUUUUAAAGAAUAAGUGUCUUACUCAGGACAUUGACGGUGAUGUUUUUGUAUUUAUUGGUACCAGUUGCCGGCACGAAUGCUUCGACGGUGUAGAGUCCUUCAUCUUCUUUAGUGACGGAAGAGAUUUCUAUGCCGGCCGGAGUGACCGCCACGCGCUCAGAUCGUACCCUCUGCUUGUUCUUUUCCCAAUUGAUACUCGGCUGAGGAUUUCCAACAGGUCGACAGCUGAUGAACCCCUUCUUCCCCACGAUCAGGUUCUGAAUGGCUUCACAAUUCUCGAAUUUUAUGUCAUC